GGUGGUCUGGAGUUUUACACGAGUUAAAAGUUACACAAUACAUGUAGUGGUUUUGAAAUGAUGACAUAUUCAACAUCCAUCGUCCAGAACCCAAAGCAGGAGUCUUCAGCCGGAAUAUCAACAAGUCACACCAAAGCAGUGAGGAAGGGAGCUAAUAUCCUCAGAAGAGUGAGAUGCCUGUCUAAUCUAUAAGUUUUGAGUGAAAAAUGUACCA